rnacentral:rRNA from 1 species
CCUACGGGUGGCAGCAGUGAGGAAUAUUGGUCAAUGGGCGCGAGCCUGAACCAGCCAAGUCGCGUGAGGGAGGACGGCCCUACGGGUUGUAAACCCCUUUAGCCGGGGAGCAACGGGCGCCACGUGUGGCGUCACUGAUAGUACCCGGAGAAAAAGCAUCUGCUAACUCCGUGCCAGCAGCCGCGGUACUACGUAGGCUGCGAGCGUUAUCCGGAUUUAUUGGGUGUAAAGGUCGCGUAGGCGGAUCGUUAAGUGAGUGGUGAAAUGGAGGGGCUCCACCCCCGAACUGCAUUUGAAACUGUUGGUCUUGAGUAUCGGAGAGGCAGGCGGAAUUCCUAGUGUAGCGGUGAAAUGCGUAGAUAUUAGGAGGAACACCAGUGGCGAAGGCGGCCUGCUGGACGACAACUGACGGUGAGGCGCGAAAGCGUGGGGAGCAAACAGGAUUAGAUACCCCAGUAGUC